ACUAAAUAGAUACCCGGGUAGUCCCAGCUGUAAACGAUGCAGACUAGGUGUUUGGACGGCCACGUGCCGUUCUAGUGCCGCAGGGAAGCUGUUAAGUCUGCCGCCUGGGGAGUACGAUCGCAAGAUUGAAACUUAAAGGAAUUGGCGGGGGAGCACCACAAGGGGUGGAAGCUUGCGGUUUAAUUUGGAGUCAACGCCGGAAAUCUCACCGGGAGCGACAGCAGUAUGAAAGCCAGAUUGAAGGUCUUGCUAGACGAGCUGAGAGGAGGUGCAUGGCCGUCGCCAGUUCGUGCCGUGAGGUGUCCUGUUAAGUCAGGCAACGAUCGAGACCCGCGUCCUCUGUUGCAACCAGCUUGUGCUGGGCACACUGAGGAGACCGCCACUGAUAAAGUGGAGGAAGGAGCGGGCCACGGCAGGUCAGUAUGCCCCGAAUCUCCCGGGCCACACGCGAGCUGCAAUGGCAAGUACAAUGGGUUCCGACCUGAAAGGGGGAGGCAAUCUCGAAAGCUUGCCGUAGUUGGAAUUGA
rnacentral:rRNA from 1 species